rnacentral:rRNA from 1 species
GUCUUGGCUGUAAACGGUGCGUAUUUGCUGUAAACGGAAUCGACCCCGUUUGUGGCGUAGCUAACGCGAUAAAUACGCCGCCUGGGAAGUACGGUCGCAAGAUUAAAACUCAAAGAAAUUGACGGGGCCUGCACAAGCGGUGGAGUAUGUGGCUUAAUUCGAUGCAACGCGAAGAACCUUACCUGGCCUUGACAUGCAUUUAGUAGAACCAUGAAAGUGGGACGAUCCCGCAAGGGAAGGAUGCACAGGUGCUGCAUGGCUGUCGU